GAUGAACGCUGGCGGCGUGCUUAACACAUGCAAGUCGAACGGAAAGGCCACAGCUUGCUGUGGUACUCGAGUGGCGAACGGGUGAGUAACACGUGGGUGACCUGCCCUGUACUUUGGGAUAAGUUCGGGAAACUGGGUCUAAUACCGGAUAGGAACCCCAUGUGGGUGUGUGGUUGGGAAGCUUUUGCGGUAUGGGAUGAGCUCGCGGCGUAUCAGCUUGUUGGUGGGGUAGUGGCCUACCAAGGCGUCGACGGGUAGCCGGCCUGAGAGGGUGUACGGCCACAUUGGGACUGAGAUACGGCCCAGACUCCUACGGGAGGCAGCAGUGGGGAAUAUUGCACAAUGGGCGCAAGCCUGAUGCAGCGACGCCGCGUGGGGGAUGACGGCCUUCGGGUUGUAAACUCCUUUCGUCAGUGACGAAGCGAGAGUGACGGUACCGGGAAAAGAAGCACCGGCUAACUACGUG
rnacentral:rRNA from 1 species